AUCGCACCGGCCGUUUUAUGGGAACUAAUAUUGCGAUCAACCUAAAUUAUAAUUUAAGUUGGUUUUUUCCUGUUGAAACUGGUUUUAUCUAUCGGUUUUAUCUAUCUCGUCAGGCUCCAUUUCUGUGAGCUUUAUCGGAAUAUAACAAAGACAAACCAGAGAGUUUUUUCUAUAUACAUCAAUAAUCAAACAGCCCAGGAUCAAGCUGAUGUCAUUGCAUGGAGCGGUGGGCAAGGUAUUCCCGUGUACAAGGACUACAUCGCAAUGUUUCCACAAGUAAGAGAAAGGAUUCAGGAUCUUUGGGUGGAGCUGCACCCCAACACCAAAACGAAGCCUCAAUACUAUGACGCGAUUUUAAAUGGGGUGGAGAUAUUCAAAUUAAGUAAUUAUGGUGGAGAUCUCGCUGGACUCAAUCCACCCCAAGAGCAGGGAUCGCUAGUUAAUCCUUCCUCUAGAUCAUCCGGAAGUUCAAAGAAAAGACUACUUACCAGUGUUGGCUGUUCUGUUAGCGGAGUUAUCUUGGCAUUCCUUAUCAUGUGCGCGCUUGCUUUUUGGAUCACAGCAGCAAGCAAGAGAAAAAAGAAAAGCAAGACAAGACAUGCCCAGUCACUCUGUCGCUAUUUCACUGUGAAGGAGAUCAAAGCGGCAACUAAUAACUUUGAUGAGGCAUAUGUUAUCGGUACUGGUGGGUUUGGUGUGGUUUAUAAAGGCUACCUGGACAGUGGGGUGACUGCAGUUGCCAUCAAGCGUGGCAAUCAAGCGUCCAUUAAACAGGGUUUCUGUGAAUUUCUCGCAGAGAUUAAGACGCUUUCUCUCCUUCGUCAUAACAAUGUUGUUUCUCUGAUGGGUUACUGCCAUGAUGAGCAGGAGAUGAUCCUUGUGUACGAGUAUAUGCCCAACGGUACUCUGUUCGAGCAUCUUCAUUUUGUUAAUAAACCACAAAAAUCACCUCUGUCAUGGAUCCAGCGACUCCAGAUAUGCAUUGGAGCUGCGCAAGGUCUAUGCUACCUCCAUACAGGAUUAAAGCUUGAAAUCGUCCAUCGCGAUGUCAAGACCAGUAACAUCUUGUUAGACGAUAACUGGGUGGUCAAGAUUUCAGAUUUUGGCUUGUCCAAAAUAGGCCUUACCAGUGGAAGCACCAAAGUUAAGGGUAGCAUUGGGUAUCUGGACCCAGAAUACUGCCGCUUUCAGAUAUUGUCGAACAAAUCUGAUGUUUACUCUUUCGGAGUAGUGCUGUUGGAGGUGCUUUCCGCAAAGUUUGUGGUGAAUCCUUCUGCAGCUGAAGAAAAUAAUCACAACGAGGAUGAUGAAGAUGCUUUAAGCUUUGUUGAGUGGGCCUUAAAUUGCCACGAAAAGGCAGAAUGGGAUCAAAUCAUUGACCCACAUUUGGAAGGAAAAAUUUCACCGGCAUCUCUUGCAAAGUUCAUGGAGAUCACACAACAGUGCUUGGCAGAACGGGGGCUAGAUCGGCCAUCGAUGAAUGAGGUGCUUUGGAACCUGGAGUUAGCACUAGAACUGCAAAUGCAUGAGUUCAGUGAGGAUAGAAACAUAACUCUGGAGUCGGUGGGAAAUUCUGAUCCGACUCCAGGAGUGGAAUUCUCUGAGAUCAUGAACCCAGUUGGAAGGUAAAUAAAUAAAUAAAUAAUGAGUCUAAUCACCAUUUGAAAGCAAAAGCAGUUUGGCAUCCAAAUAUGCAGUAGUUACCAUUUCCAAAAUGUAAUUCUACCAUGUAUGCUGAUUAUAGAUAU
rnacentral:misc_RNA from 1 species